GAUGAACGCUGGCGGCGUGCCUAAUACAUGCAAGUCGAGCGAACAGACGAGGAGCUUGCUCCUCUGACGUUAGCGGCGGACGGGUGAGUAACACGUGGAUAACCUACCUAUAAGACUGGGAUAACUUCGGGAAACCGGAGCUAAUACCGGAUAAUAUAUUGAACCGCAUGGUUCAAUAGUGAAAGACGGUUUUGCUGUCACUUAUAGAUGGAUCCGCGCCGCAUUAGCUAGUUGGUAAGGUAACGGCUUACCAAGGCAACGAUGCGUAGCCGACCUGAGAGGGUGAGCGGCCACACUGGAACGGAGGCACGGUCCAGACUCCUACGGGAGGCAGCAGUGGGGAAUCUUCCGCAAUGGGCGAAAGCCUGACGGAGCAACGCCGCGUGAGUGAUGAAGGUCUUCGGAUCGUAAAACUCUGUUAUUAGGGAAGAACAAAUGUGUAAGUAACUAUGCACGUCUUGACGGUACCUAAUCAGAAAGCCACGGCUAACUACGUG
rnacentral:rRNA from 1 species